GGAGGGGUACCCAAGUGGCCAAAGGGGGCAGACUGUAAAUCUGUUGCGUGAUCGCUUCGAAGGUUCGAAUCCUUCCCCCUCCACCA
rnacentral:tRNA from 1 species